UGCCAGCAGCCGCGGUAAUACGGAGGGGGUUAGCGUUGUUCGGAAUUACUGGGCGUAAAGCGCACGUAGGCGGACCGGAAAGUCAGAGGUGAAAUCCCAGGGCUCAACCUUGGAACUGCCUUUGAAACUAUCAGUCUGGAGUUCGAGAGAGGUGAGUGGAAUUCCGAGUGUAGAGGUGAAAUUCGUAGAUAUUCGGAGGAACACCAGUGGCGAAGGCGGCUCACUGGCUCGAUACUGACGCUGAGGUGCGAAAGCGUGGGGAGCAAACAGGAUUAGAUA
rnacentral:rRNA from 1 species